rnacentral:rRNA from 1 species
GACGAACGCUGGUGGCGUGCUUAACACAUGCAAGUCGAACGGAAAGGCCCUGCUUUUGUGGGGUGCUCGAGUGGCGAACGGGUGAGUAACACGUGAGUAACCUGCCCUUGACUUUGGGAUAACUUCAGGAAACUGGGGCUAAUACCGGAUAGGAGCUCCUGCUGCAUGGUGGGGGUUGGAAAGUUUCGGCGGUUGGGGAUGGACUCGCGGCUUAUCAGCUUGUUGGUGGGGUAGUGGCUUACCAAGGCUUUGACGGGUAGCCGGCCUGAGAGGGUGACCGGCCACAUUGGGACUGAGAUACGGCCCAGACUCCUACGGGAGGCAGCAGUGGGGAAUAUUGCACAAUGGGCGGAAGCCUGAUGCAGCAACGCCGCGUGCGGGAUGACGGCCUUCGGGUUGUAAACCGCUUUCGCCUGUGACGAAGCGUGAGUGACGGUAAUGGGUAAAGAAGCACCGGCUAACUACGUGCCAGCAGCCGCGGUGAUACGUAGGGUGCGAGCGUUGUCCGGAUUUAUUGGGCGUAAAGGGCUCGUAGGUGGUUGAUCGCGUCGGAAGUGUAAUCUUGGGGCUUAACCCUGAGCGUGCUUUCGAUACGGGUUGACUUGAGGAAGGUAGGGGAGAAUGGAAUUCUUGGUGGAGCGGUGGAAUGCGCAGAUAUCAGGAGGAACACCAGUGGCGAAGGCGGUUCUCUGGGCCUUUCCUGACGCUGAGGAGCGAAAGCGUGGGGAGCGAACAGGCUUAGAUACCCUGGUAGUCCACGCUGUAAACGGUGGGUACUAGGUGUGGGGUCCAUUCCACGGGUUCCGUGCCGUAGCUAACGCUUUAAGUACCCCGCCUGGGGAGUACGGCCGCAAGGCUAAAACUCAAAGGAAUUGACGGGGCCCCGCACAAGCGGCGGAGCAUGCGGAUUAAUUCGAUGCAACGCGUAGAACCUUACCUGGGUUUGACAUGGAUCGGGAGUGCUCAGAGAUGGGUGUGCCUCUUUUGGGGUCGGUUCACAGGUGGUGCAUGGCUGUCGUCAGCUCGUGUCGUGAGAUGUUGGGUUAAGUCCCGCAACGAGCGCAACCCUUGUUCACUGUUGCCAGCACGUUAUGGUGGGGACUCAGUGGAGACCGCCGGGGUCAACUCGGAGGAAGGUGGGGAUGACGUCAAGUCAUCAUGCCCCUUAUGUCCAGGGCUUCACGCAUGCUACAAUGGCUGGUACAGAGAGUGGCGAGCCUGUGAGGGUGAGCGAAUCUCGGAAAGCCGGUCUCAGUUCGGAUUGGGGUCUGCAACUCGACCUCAUGAAGUCGGAGUCGCUAGUAAUCGCAGAUCAGCAACGCUGCGGUGAAUACGUUCCCGGGGCU